CUCAGGACAAAGAGAGAGACCAAGCAGGUAACCCAGCUCCUAAAAAGACCCUGAACUGAUAUAUCUAAAAAUUACAGAAUUGGAUUAGCUGAAUGGACCUAGUUCAGUUUAAAGCACAGGUCAGUCUUUGUUUGGAAAUCAAACAUUCUUCCUGAUCUGGAGCAACAAAUGUCAGUUUUGAUAGCUGAACGAAGGCCAAAUGGAUUGAAGCUGGAUCCUUCCUUCUCUCCAAAACAACUCUUAACUAUUCCUCCCAUUGUGAUGGUAAUCAAUGCCCCACUUAUCACCAGUAGGACUGGUACAUGAACUUGCCCUUUACUUACUACUGUACCCCCUUUCCUUAUAUAAGCAACAAUUGCCUUCUAUCCAAUAGGCUUUUAUAACCAAUGCUGGUGGGCAAAAUGUGAAAAAAAUCCUGUAACAGGAGACUGGUAAAAAGCACUUUAAACUCAAUUCAAUAAAAUUAUAUUCUGCUCCCAUCA